rnacentral:rRNA from 1 species
UUUCCUACGGGAGGCAGCAGUAGGGAAUCUUCCACAAUGGACGAAAGUCUGAUGGAGCAACGCCGCGUGAGUGAAGAAGGGUUUCGGAUUGUAAAGCUCUUUCGGACGUGACGAUGAUGACGGUAGCGUCUAAAGAAGCACCGGCAAACUUCGUGCCAGCAGCCGCGGUAAUACGAAGGGUGCGAGCGUUGUUCGGAAUUACUGGGCGUAAAGGGAGUGUAGGCGGAUAUGUAAGAUAGCGGUGAAAUGCCGGGGCUCAACCCCGGAACUGCCAUUAUGACUAUGUAUCUAGAGUAAUGGAGAGG